rnacentral:rRNA from 1 species
GACGAACGCUGGCGGCGUGCUUAACACAUGCAAGUCGAACGGAAAGGCCCUGCUUUUGUGGGGUGCUCGAGUGGCGAACGGGUGAGUAGCACGUGAGUAACCUGCCCUUGACUUUGGGAUAACUUCAGGAAACUGGGGCUAAUACCGGAUAGGAGCUCCUGCUGCAUGGUGGGGGUUGGAAAGUUUCGGCGGUUGGGGAUGGACUCGCGGCUUAUCAGCUUGUUGGUGGGGUAGUGGCUUACCAAGGCUUUGACGGGUAGCCGGCCUGAGAGGGUGACCGGCCACAAUGGGACUGAGAUACGGCCCAGACUCCUACGGGAGGCAGCAGUGGGGAAUAUUGCACAGUGGGCGGAAGCCUGAUGCAGCAACGCCGCGUGCGGGAUGACGGCCUUCGGGUUGUAAACCGCUUUCGCCUGUGACGAAGCGUGAGUGACGGUAAUGGGUAAAGAAGCACCGGCUAACUACGUG